GUGAUUUUCAAUCUCCCCGAGAUGGUCAAGUUGCUGGGGUUGGGGCAUCGACGGUUUUUGACCGACGUAGAAUACAGAGGCAAAUAAAUCAACUGCUUAAUAACAGGAGGAGACAACUUGUUAAUGUUAAUGGGACCUUGGUUGCUGUAUCGGGGAAUGGUCUCUUUGGCUCCCAAAUUGCUCGAAGCGUAAUGUUAAUGGGACCGUGGUUGCUGUAUCGGGGAAUGGUCUCUUUGGCUCCCAAAUUGCUCGAAGCAGGGAAUUAGUAACUCAACCUGCUGUAGCACAAAGGGCAGUUCCUCAUAAUACAUUUUUCCAGGGAAGGCAACUGGAGUAUAAUGCUCGUUUAUCUCAUAAUCGGAAUAUUUUACCUGAAAGGUCAAGUAAUUUGAGUGGGCAACUGAAUCUGAACGGAGCCUCUACAUCAUCGCAUAGUUUUUUGGGUGAUUUUUUAGAAAGUGAAUUACAAGGUACUGAUGCAAGUAUCAGCUUGGGUUUGGUUCAUCAGCAACCCCAUCCCUGCAGUAGCAGAUCUUAUGUGGGGCCUGAUACUAGCCCAUCUCCUUGUCCAUUUAGAGAGGUGAGCUCCUUUAAUUAAAAAAGGAACACGUAUAAUCAACGGUUAUUAUUGAUUACACUAACUACAAUUUGGUCUAUUGGAAACAACCUCUCUACCUUCACAAGGUAGGGGUAAGGUCUGCGUGCACUCUACCCCCAGACCCUACUUUGUG
rnacentral:lncRNA from 1 species